CUUGCAAAAGACAUCAAGAAUUGAAAUUUUCUUUACUGGAAUUCCAACUUCAUAUGAUAAUAUUCCAUUUUGUAUGAUGUCUAAGCUUACACAACUAGUAGCCAAUCCUCCCUCAGGAUGUGUCACAAAGAAAACCUUGGAAAAGAAAAAAUUAGUUUACUUCCAACAAUUGAAAGAACCACUAACACCACAUUGGACACAGAG
rnacentral:lncRNA from 1 species